GAUGAACGCUAGCGGGAGGCCUAACACAUGCAAGCCGAGCGGUAUUUGUUCUUCGGAACAGAGAGAGCGGCGCACGGGUGCGGAACACGUGUGCAACCUGCCUUUAUCUGGGGGAUAGCCUUUCGAAAGGAAGAUUAAUACCCCAUAAUAUAUUGAGUGGCAUCAUUUGAUAUUGAAAACUCCGGUGGAUAGAGAUGGGCACGCGCAAGAUUAGAUAGUUGGUGAGGUAACGGCUCACCAAGUCAAUGAUCUUUAGGGGCCUGAGAGGGUGAUCCCCCACACUGGUACUGAGACACGGACCAGACUCCUACGGGAGGCAGCAGUGAGGAAUAUUGGACAAUGGGUUAGCGCCUGAUCCAGCCAUCCCGCGUGAAGGACGACGGCCCUAUGGGUUGUAAACUUCUUUUGUAUAGGGAUAAACCUACUCUCGUGAGAGUAGCUGAAGGUACUAUACGAAUAAGCACCGGCUAACUCCGUG
rnacentral:rRNA from 1 species